AUGCCUUCCUGGAACGACGAGGAAACCAGCUCGGAGGAGGAGUGCGAGGUCGUCAGCAUGGACAUGGGACUUAUGGAGGAACCAGACACCACUGUGGAGCCCCUUUUCUGUGGCCAACUUGAGCUUGCUCAUCCCAAGUGCAUUCUGCACCAACUGAGGCCUAUUAAGCGUGUUGCUUUUGAAGGGCCUGUAACAGGAAGGCGUUUCUAUGGCUGCCCAGUCCAGGAAAAUGGUGUGAAUUGUGUAGUUGUAGAGUGGGUUGAUGGGCCUUGGCCUCCUGUUCUUCAGAGAUGCUUGUGCAAGCUAUGGGAAAUGUUCCAUGAGCAGAACCUAGGAAGGGUACUUGACAAGGAGAAGUUUGAGAAGGAGUUGGCCAAGCUUAAGAGUGAACAUGAAAGGGAGUUGGCCAAGCUUAGGACUGAAAAUGACAAGCUUUGCAUUGAGUACACCAAGCUUGUUGAUGAUGUAUCCAAGAUGUUUGAUUGGCAGGAUGGUAGGGUGGACAAGAAGGUGUACCAGAAACAAGUGGAGGAAGAAGAACUUGAGAAGAAGAAGAAGAAGGAGCUAGAGGAGAAAGCUAUGUUGGAGGUGUAG
rnacentral:rRNA from 1 species